GCGGCGGUCGAUCGGUUCGGUAUAUUUCUGAGAGAUCUCGUACGGGCGUACUGGAAUCUCGGCGCUCCGAAGGUUAGCACGUCUGCAGGACGCCGACGCUGAGCCUAGUCGCGUGUGUGGUCCCGGAGUGAGACGCGAGACCGGUCUCGUACGUCGUUACAGCUGUGGCUUCGCGAACCUCCACGUCAACAGCUCUGAUAUCACCGGGGUUUAGUCUUGCAUACUUGUACAACAUCGUGCAAGAUCAGGCAUGACGGCGUGCCACCCACCGCAGCGCUUCAGACGAGUCUCUCAGAGGAACCGGGCGCUCCAGAGGAUCCCUCGUUCACUCUGCCCGGUUCUCCGUCUCUCUCUUUAUUCAUGUACCUGCAUGUCAAGUCAAAGGAGAGUGCAUUCUCCACAGACCAUUUCUCCCGGCUCUAAUGAGGCCUGACCAUUCCGACGCGCUGAAUACGUGACAAAAACUCAGCCGGCCGCCAUUUUGGUUUAGGGGAGGGUUGUCGGGGGGGUUUUAGAAAAAACUCCGCCGCCUGCGAAAAGCCACCCGCCGCACAACGUGGACAUUUUAGGUGAUUUUCCACCUCGUCUCAAACGGUGCUGUAAUUUUCCACUGUAGAGAUCACCUCGUGCUGCGACUUCAGAAUCUAACCUGAUCGUUAAUACGUCACCACGCCACGGAGCUGCCGAGUUCUGGAUUCCGAUUGGUCGGAAUGGGAUAAAGCGCUCGUAACAUAGUAACAGCGAUCCUCGCGGACAAGUCAGGAACGUUUACUAAACAUCGGGUCAUGCCGAGUUCACGUCGAUGCAAAAUACGCAUAGAGUGAUGAGAAACCGUGUCUGAAGUGAGACAGAAGGUUAUUAAGGUUCAUACGGAACACAAAGGAAAUACAGAUCACCGAACACGCGCCAGCGUUUAUUUCCGUCGACACGCCGCGGCGUUUUCCCGACACGCCGCUCCGUCCUGUUUUUUUUUAAUCCUACGUCGUGUGAAGAAAUCUAGAUUUGGCGUGAUCAGGACGCAGACGCGAUCGUUCUGUCGUUGUGUUUUUUCAGUCACGAUAUGGAUUUGAAGAUUUGUGUGCUAAAGAUGUUCUCUACUCCACGCCAUCUCGUAUCUUCCCACAGCGCACUAGAGCAAACCUCUCAUUUCUACACAAAAGUCGGAAAGACUACGGAAUGAUAGCAGGGACGAGACAAAAACCGCUCCGCUGGAGCUUCUCCACUUCCUAACUCCUGCAGCAGUGGUGAGAGAAAUUACUCUCUCACACACACACACACACACACACACACACACACACACACACACGAGUGGUGUUGGGUGUUGGAGGAAUCGGAGCGCUCGGCCUCAUUCGAGAGAAAAGUUCACGCAGAGUUGAAGCCACAUCUGGGAACGUUUACUGCUGGAGAACUUAGACAGAGCAGAAACCCUUAAACAGAGCUCUUUCUUCUUCUCUUCUUCCCCGAACGGAAAAUGAAAGCGAGCUGGCGUGCGACUGCCUGCCACCCGACACUCCAGGAACUCCGUAGGAGCACCGUAACUUCAUCCACGCGACCAUCUACUGUAUCUCGAUUCCUCCGUUCGGAAGGAUUAACCCUGCGAGACUCCGACCUGCGGGUUUAUCCGUCAGGAAGAAAAUCGAUAACGUACCGUCAGACAGUAAACCACCACCACACCACGGACACGUCGAAUUCUGCACCCUGAUUGGUCAGAAGGUGGUGAUCAAGUCUCUGGAGCAGCAGCUCCGACAGGUUUAUAUGAACGCGUUCCGGUUUACGGUGCUUACGGAAGGAGUCUCCAGUGUCGGCGCUGUGUAACGGU
ensembl:lncRNA